GGAUCCUCCUCUACUCUUCAAAGACAUUGGUCCCUCUGUUGAUGCAAGUUCACAUCAGCAGAGAGGAAAGUCUCCUGAACCCAGAUGUUUGCCCAUGAAGAGUGAUCAUUCUAUGGGUCGUCUGGAUAACUUCAAAGAUGAUCAGUCUAAUGAUCGAUGGUUUAACUUCAAAGAUGGACGCCGUUCUUAUGACCCAGAAGAGGACCAGGAGAGCUCAGAGGUUCCCACAGGUCCGUCUGCCCAGCAGCAUCAAAC